UCUUUCUCCAGAUUUUCCUUCUCUUUGUUUUCUCCUCCUUUUCGUUCUUCUCCAACUUCGUUUCUUUUUUCUCGAGAAAGAUAUUUUGCACUAGCGUUGAAUUUUUUUUUGUCUAUUUUUGUUACAGGAUCUCGAAACUCUUGUUAUCGUUAAUAUUCACUAUGUAGAAAUUUUACACGUUUGAUAAACACUAUGCAAAUUUCUGAUUAGCUUAAAUUAAUUAAAUGCAUGUUUAAAAUAAGCUCCAAUCAAAUCUAAUCCACCUGUAUCACACUCACAUCAACAAAAAUCUUUUUUUUUUUCGUUUUAUGAUUCGUGCAAGUUUAGUUCUGCUUUUUUUUUGUUGCUGUUGUUCUUUUUUGAAAAAAGAGAAGAAAAUAAGGGAAAAAAAAAUUCUCUUUCUAUGAUCAAUUUGGUUGUAAAGAAUUGAAAAUCUGAGUUGUUAAUUUAUUUAUUUUUCCUUAAAUUGUGGUAAUUUUGUUAGCUUAUGUUUGAAGUUUGGGAGUUAGGGGAAUCAGAUUUGUGAUUUAGGAGUGAUUAUGAUUGUGUUUUGCUUCAGAUUUGGGGGAAACAGGAAGUGAUUAAUUAGAAGCAUGAAUUUCAAGGGGUUUGGGAAUGAACCGGGAGCCUCCGUCGCUGGCGGCGGUGGGAGGACUACCGCGGGGAGUUUUUCUCUAGCGCGGCAAUCGUCGGUGUACUCUUUGACAAUUGAUGAAUUUAUGAAUAGUAUGGGUGGUUCUGGGAAAGAUCUUGGAUCAAUGAACAUGGAUGAAUUGUUGAAGAACAUUUGGACUGCAGAAGAGGUUCAAACAAUGGGGGGUGAAGAGGCUGUUAGUAAUCAUUUGCAAAGGCAAGGCUCUUUGACGCUGCCGCGGACGCUUAGUCAGAAGACAGUUGAUGAAGUUUGGAAGGAUAUUUCGAAGGAUUAUGGUCCUAGUUUGGCUGCACCGCAGGCUCAAAGACAACCAACUUUGGGGGAAAUGACUUUGGAAGAGUUUUUGGUUAGAGCUGGUGUUGUUAGGGAAGAUGCGAAACCGAAUGAUGGGGUUUUUCUCGAUCUAGCGCGUGUUGGGAAUAAUAGUAAUUUGGGUUUGGCUUUUCAGGCUCAGCAGAUGAAUAAAGUUGCUGGUUUUAUGGGUAAUAAUAAUAGAAUGAAUGGUACUAAUGAUGAUCCACUUGUUGGCCUUCAGAGUCCUACUAAUUUGCCAUUGAAUGUGAAUGGGAUUAGAUCGGCAAAUCAGCAACAGAUGCAGAGUUCAGUGUCUCAGCAGCAACAUCAGAAUCAACAACUUCAGCAACAUCAACUUCAGCAACAACAGCAGCAACAGCAACAUCAGCAGCAGCAGCAACAGAUAUUUCCUAAGCAACCUGUUUUGAACUAUGCAACUCAGAUGCCUUUGUCUAGUAAUCAAGCACUGAGAGGUGGAAUUAUGGGGCUUUCUCCUGAUCAAGGCAUGAAUGCUAAUCUUGUGCAAGGCGGAGGGAUUGGUAUGGUUGGUUUGGCACCUGGGGCUGUUCAAAUUGGUGCUGUGUCACCGGCUAACCAAAUAUCUGGUGAUAAACUUGGAAAGUCUAAUGGGGAUACUUCUUCUGUGUCGCCGGUUCCUUAUGUAUUUAAUGGUGGUAUGCGAGGAAGGAAGGGUAAUGGAGCUGUGGAGAAGGUAAUUGAAAGGAGGCAGAGAAGAAUGAUAAAGAAUAGAGAGUCAGCUGCUAGAUCCCGCGCUCGCAAGCAGGCUUAUACCAUGGAAUUGGAAGCAGAAGUAGCAAAAUUAAAAGAAGAGAAUGAAGAACUUCAGAAAAAGCAGGAAGAAAUCAUGGAAAUUCAGAAAAAUCAAAUGUCAUGAGUCGUGGUUUUAGCUUCCUUCAUAUAACAUGCUAAUUGGUCAUUCAUCCGCCAAGAGCAAUGGAGCGUUUGAUAAAGGUCAUUGUGAAGAUAACAUUUGAUCACAGGCUAUGCCAAUCAACGCAUUUUGGUGUGCUGGUCAUGUUCAGCAUAAAAACGGCUGGUUUGGUGUUAGUGGUGAUCCGAACAUAUGCUUUAAACUACUGCAUGAUUUAGGUUAAAGAAAUGAUGAAUUUGCAGCGAGAAGUCAAGAGAAAAUGCUUAAGACGAACACAAACCGGUCCAUGGUAGAUGGAAGAUUGAAUUAUUAUUCCGCAGUAAAAACAUUAUUUUGCAUACAUAGUUAGGGAGGAUAUGCACAGUACCGUGAGAGUAUGUAUCAGCGCCCGUCCAAUUUCAUGCCACCAUUGUGUUGUGCAGAACAGAACACCUUCACUGAAUUUGAUUCUGUGAGAGGGUGAAAUAUGUGUUCAUCAUGUACGUACUUCUAUUUAAUGCACUAUUCAUGAGUUUGGACUA